GCAAACUUGGUCAUUUAGAGGAAGUAAAAGUCGUAACAAGGUUUCCGUAGGUGAACCUGCGGAAGGAUCAUUACAAGAUGCUAGGUCCGGGGCAACCGCGACCGCUGUCUGCAAGCCCCGGAACGGCGUGAGCCGUCUCCGGUGUUGACAGUUGACCCUUGUGACAUCCCCUCGUUGCCUUGACAGCGCCUCCCGGCCUGCCGGGGGGGUCAGCCUGCCUGUAAUACCUAUAGAAAACCCUUUGUCCUGAAAAGGAAGCAUUGAUAACGUCUGAAGGCGCAGUCGAAUGACACGUAAAACUUUCAACAACGGAUCUCUUGGUUCCCGCAUCGAUGAAGAACGCAGC
rnacentral:misc_RNA from 1 species